GAUGAACGCUGGCGGCGUGCUUAACACAUGCAAGUCGAACGGAGUGCUCAUGACGGAGGAUUCGUCCAACGGAUUGAGUUACUUAGUGGCGGACGGGUGAGUAACGCGUGAGGAACCUGCCUCGGAGUGGGGAAUAACAGACCGAAAGGCCUGCUAAUACCGCAUAAGCCCACGACCCGGCAUCGGGUUGAGGGAAAAGGAGCAAUCCGCUUUGAGAUGGCCUCGCGUCCGAUUAGCUAGUUGGUGAGGUAACGGCCCACCAAGGCGACGAUCGGUAGCCGGACUGAGAGGUUGAACGGCCACAUUGGGACUGAGACACGGCCCAG
rnacentral:rRNA from 1 species